rnacentral:rRNA from 1 species
AGUGAACGCUGGCGGUAGGCCUAACACAUGCAAGUCGAACGGCAGCACAGUAAGAGCUUGCUCUUACGGGUGGCGAGUGGCGGACGGGUGAGGAAUACAUCGGAAUCUACUUUUUCGUGGGGGAUAACGUAGGGAAACUUACGCUAAUACCGCAUACGACCUACGGGUGAAAGCAGGGGAUCUUCGGACCUUGCGCGAUUGAAUGAGCCGAUGUCGGAUUAGCUAGUUGGCGGGGUAAAGGCCCACCCAGGCGACGAUCCGUAGCUGGUCUGAGAGGAUGAUCAGCCACACUGGAACUGAGACACGGUCCAGACUCCUACGGGAGGCAGCAGUGGGGAAUAUUGGACAAUGGGCGCAAGCCUGAUCCAGCCAUACCGCGUGGGUGAAGAAGGCCUUGGGGUUGUAAAGCCCUUUUGUUGGGAAAGAAAAGCAGCAGGUUAAUACCCCGCUGUUCUGACGGUACCCAAAGAAUAAGCACCGGCUAACUUCGUG